GUUUGAAGAGACCAUAUAUAUUUCUUCAGCACAGGUCAAGACGGAGCUAAGAGAACAUGAAUCCACUUUCAGCCUCUUAACUUCACUGACACAUUUUUGAUGACUGGAAUAUCAGAACAAUGAGAAAUUGAGAACAGGUAAAUUUUGAAAACAUUGCACAGGGGGGAAAGACAAACAAGGCUUAUUAAUGAGCAACUGCAUUUGCAAACAUAUUUCAGUGCCAGGAGUUAGAAGUGGUGGACUUUCAGACUCAAGAGUCAUUUGAAAGCAUUGAAUCAUUCCUUGAUCUUGCAUGGCAGAGGGAAAGCUAGGUAGGUAGCUGACUGGAAUCAUACAUGCUCAGGGAGAUCUCAAGCCCCACUUUGGCCUUAUGAUAGAUACCAUGUGAUUACAAUCCCCAGCUGACACUGUCCUAAUUUCAAAUUGCUUUCGUAGUGGCUAAAGUAUUCCUCUCUUGCAUUUCUAGAGAGUAUUUAGGAAUUAAUUAUGGAUUCAUCAAUUAAGAAGCUAAUUAAUAAACACUGAGUGUUGUUAGUCUUAGCAAUGGUAGUAAAGGACUGUACUAUUAGCUUGUGCCUGUUUAAAAGAAUGUUCGAGUUUUUCAGUCAUUAAUAAGUAAAUUAGUUGAAGGCUGCUUGCUUACAGACCUUUUAGAUUAGUAACUUCAGUGAUGAACUGCUGAUCCGCAAGCUUCGUUCAGGUGGUCCAUGGUGCAUGUGUGUGGAUUUGUGGUUGAAGCCAGGAGAGAGCACACCCAUUGCACUGACUUUGUAUAUUGAUUGUAAUUGUAUUUUUAUUGCCUGCAUGGAAUUCAAAUUGUAAUACAAGAAAUAAAAGAAGCAAUAAAAUACAAUUGAAAAUCACACAGUAUCUAGCGCAGCACAUUAUAAUUGCGUGUCGAGGUCCGCAAGCCACCCCUCAAAUAACUCACAACUCACACAUAAAUUUUUGUUUAAGGUUUUUGGCAUAAUUUUGGCCACAACUUUAUUAAAAUACAUAUCUGUGAGUGGUUGUUUAGGCAUUGGUUAAGACUAUCUGUCCCACCCCACCCCCCGCCUGGGGACAGAACUGACAUCCGAACUCCAUUGGAUGCCAGUAAGGGAAAACAAUAUUGGGGAGCAAUGGAGCUGAGUCACAGGCCCUCAGCACUCACCCGCAUGCUUCCCGGGGCUUGCCGGCCAUAGCCCCAUCCAGGGAUUCAGACGAAAUCGUGGCAAGCCCCUGGAUUCCUUUAACGGAAUUCCCUUCCGCAGCAGCAUUGGAGGGGCAGGCCCAGCCAAUCCUUACCCCUCCUCCAACCAAUUGAUAUCCAAUGCCUAACCACAACCUUACAAGUUGUGACGAUUUGCUACGCAGUAGGCAAAAACCAUAUGGCCCAGCCAAUCAGCCAGAUGGACAAAAUUCCUACCAGGCCCUUGCCCUUGCCCCCAAGGGCAGACAACCCCGUGACAGGCAUAGCAAGGUCAAGCAAACCUUCCAAACUCAGGGCGGGUGGGUGGGUGAUCCGGCUCACGCAGCGAAAGAGAAAGCACCAAGCUGCGUGCUCGGAAUUUAAACAGUUCGGUCCCUCCCACCAAAUUUGCAACAAGUAAAUUCCCCCAACAACACAGUCAUCCAAUUAAAUGCCAGGAUGAUAUUUUAUCACCCUACUUGGCAACAGAGGGGUGACUCAGCGGACCCCACCGCAACACAUGUUCUCAUUUAGGGAGAACACGCUUUGUUACAGCAGGCAGAAAGGUCCUUAAAUGGUUUGUCAAGUGGUUUCCUCCAAAAAGCUCAAGGUGGCAUCAUGGUCCUCUUCCUCCCUAUUUUAGCUUCACAACAACCAUAAGAGGGAGUUGAGGCUGAGAGACUGUGACUGCCCCAAGGUCACCCAGGAAGUUUCAUGGCUGCAUGGGGAUUUGAAACCUGGUCUCCCAGACCCUGGUUUAACACUCUAAUCACCAUACCACACUGACUUUGUCAAAUGUCUGAAUCAGACCUUUCCAGGAUGUGUGAAAUAGAAAACUUCUGCUCUAUUUUGGGAGUUAUUAUCCGGGGAAAGAUCUGGGGAGAACAAGGACGGACGAGUAAGCUGCUGUUCUUUUGCUUUGAGGCCUAAACAACAGACAACGCUGAUUCACUUUGUUUUCCAAAAGUCAAGCCAGUGAAAUCUUUGCUGAUACUGGUUGUUGUUGCUGUUGGCAGGAGAGCUACCUAGUGAUAAUACCAGAAGGAAGAAAUAAAGAAAAUAAAAAGCUAAUAGCAAUCAGGGAUGGAGUGUGCCUCCUGAAGACCACAUGUUGAGCUUUUAUCUUUGCCAUCUUCUCUUCCCUUAAGGAAGCUGCGAUAUUUAUACAAUAGCUAGAAGAACAACUUUGAAGUGUCAUUUGUUGAGCUGAGCAUAAGUUAUGAUUUUGCUUGAGCCCAGCAGGGUAUUCAGUUACAAAAGGAGAAAGUUUUGAAGUUAUAGGUCCUGGUUUUCUGAUCCAUUUGUUUCCAGGAUUCUUAAAUGCAAGCCAUGAUCUCUGCCUUUGAACAGGAGUCUGGAUUUCAACUGAAGAACCCUAAAUAAAGCUUAUAAUAGACUGCAAUGGCACACCACUGUUUCUGAAAAGGUAGGAGCUGGCAGUUAUACGGUGUUAUGGAUUUGCUUUGUGCAGAUCCACUGGACAAAGAUGCAGUUAAUAAGCUAACUUACUGUAGUUCAUGUUUGAAGAAUAAAAUAUGUAACAGCCUUACUUUCUUUUAAUUCAUGGUAAAAAAAAGUAUUAAAGAUUUUAAGGUUCUUAGUACUGAAUAUGUCAUAUAUAGUAGCUGCAUGUACUUGCUUGGCAUUAAAGAAGGAUGCUUUUUUGUUUAGUUCUGGCAGCAUUGUUGACAUAUUGACAGUACAUACUGUGCCAGUGAAUACCAGUGAUCUGCAUGCCUGAAAGCCAUGAUCCUCAGAAUACAUGUCCCAAUAAUUCUGUUAACGACAAUGGAAGAGGGAAAUGUAAAUUGCAGCCAGAUUCUGUUAUCUGCUGUUUAACGCAAAAAGAGAGGAUACAAAUUAAGGACACUUACAACCGAAGUUGCACUGUUGCAGCAAUUUGCCCACAAAGCCAAACCAUUUUAGGUUUAUAUGUGGGUGGAAACCUCCAUAUUGGCAAAAAUUGGGGAUCCACUUGAAAGAAUACAAAAUCAAGACAAUACUUAGAUAUUAAUUCAAAAACUUGCUGUUUUUAGAAAUUGUUUUUUAAUGAUUUAUUAUGUGUUUUCAAGAAUUGUGUUAUUUUAUUGUAGGGGCAUUAUAUCUAUUGGCCUCUUGUAAAUUGCCUUGUGAUUUGUACAAUGGCAGCAUAUAUAUAUAUAUAUAUAUAUAUAUAUAUAUAUAUAUUCACAUCAAACCAAGUAUACAGUAUACUGUUUGCUAGACAGCAGCAAUGGGAGAGGACUAUUGCUCUCAUGUAGGGAUGGUAGAAAAAUUUGAUUUACUUUGCAUUUAAAGGUUAACUUAAGUAAUUCACAUUUUCCAAAACAAUAUGCAGACUGAAACACAGCUACCCUUCAAAAUUCAUACUUCUCUGAAUUUUCGCAAUGCAGUCCAGUUAAGUAAUGUAUGCAAAAAUGCAUAUGCUAGGGUAUAUUCUGCAUAUAAAUGGGCAUGUUAUUAAACAUAACAUAUCAAAUUGUAUCAUGUUAGGAAAAUUGUUUUGCAAAAAAUGUAUGAAUUAGCCAAACUGCAUACAAAAAUGUAUACUUUGAGACAUUUGCUCUAAAAUAUUGAGAAAUUUUCAUGAGGACUGUUUGGAAUUGAGAAAAAAAGACAUGGAAAGAAAGCAAAAAUGACAGAUUCACUCAUCUUUACACGUAUGUACAUAUUGUGGGUUUCCCGGGGCAUCUGGUUCACCAUGGUGGGGAACAGGAUGAUAUAUUUAUAUGGCAAGGACCAUAACCCAAACAGACUGCAGGAUGCUGAAUAUGCAUCAGAAUCAUAAUUUAAUCACCGGUUGACCAUCCCAACUGAGGUUCUCAAAGCUGAGUCUAUUUAUUUGUAAUACCCUACUCCUGGGAGAUUUAAAAAGAAAAGAAAAGAAAAAGUUAAAGAGUCUAUGAAUAACUUGAACUGAUGCAUAAACCAGAUCUUUGCUGCUGAAGUACGCUACAGAAUCCUGCCCUUGCUGGAGACCCACAGAUAUGAAAUAGAUCACUUGCCUCUUCUUCCCUUUGGCAAAUGACUGUACUGUUGAAAUGGCAACGAGAUCGCACUGGCUUAUUUAUUCUGAAUGUUUGUAGGUGAUGCCAAUAAAGGUUUGAUGAUGAUGAUAAACCAGAUCUAAGAUUACCCCAUGUGAACUGUGCUAGGUUCAAUAGUAUGACUACAGUAAUAAAUUAUAGCAAAAGAAUAGGUAAUAGCGAAAACCCACUGAAGAUUUUUCAGCAUUGAUAAAUGUUCCAUUGGUUUGAUGAAGCCUUGAGCAGUUAUUCAAAAGUUAAGAUUUUCCUGCUUCAUCAAAGCCUAUGACAGCAGUUGCUGGCAAAAGUUAUAAGGUGCAUGUUCAGUUUCAUUCUGAAGCUAGAAUUCUGCCAGCACACCAGUGCUUGUAGAGUGAGACACCUAGUGGACUUCCUUGUGCUUUAUCUUCUUUCUUUCUUUUAGUUCUGGAAUGUGAGCUAUCAAUGAAGGAGUUGGUGGAAUGCACAGGUGGAAUGCACAGGACAGCAGCAGCAGGCUUCAUCUAGAUCAGCAGAAAGCCUCAAAUGCUUUAUGAGGCAAUACAAGAACAUAACAAUGUCGAACAUCUUUGUUGGUCCCAUGCACUCCAUCCUCCACAUCUAGAUUUCAGCCUGAAGGAACAAAGUUAUGAAGUGUGACUUUGCGCAACAUCAUUACUGAUCUGCUGUGGCAUCAACUUCAGCUUCAAGUUUUCCAGCUUUGUGGAGCUUAAUCCAGC